GACGAACCGUGCGAACGUUGUUCGGAAUCACUGGGCUUAAAGGGCGCGUAGGCGGGCUAUCAAGUCCGGGGUGAAAUCCUCCAGCUCAACUGGAGAAUGGCCUCGGAUACUGAUGGUCUCGAGGGAGAUAGGGGCACACGGAACUGUGGGUGGAGCGGUGAAAUGCGUUGAUAUCCAUAGGAACUCCGGUGGCGAAAGCGGUGUGCUGGAUCUCUUCUGACGCUGAGGCGCGAAAGCCAGGGGAGCAAACGGG
rnacentral:rRNA from 1 species